rnacentral:rRNA from 1 species
GUGGGGAAUUUUGGACAAUGGGCGCAAGCCUGAUCCAGCAAUGCCGCGUGCAGGAAGAAGGCCUUCGGGUUGUAAACUGCUUUUGUACGGAACGAAAAGGCUCUGGCUAAUACCUGGAGCUCAUGACGGUACCGUAAGAAUAAGCACCGGCUAACUACGUGCCAGCAGCCGCGGUAAUACGUAGGGUGCGAGCGUUAAUCGGAAUUACUGGGCGUAAAGCGUGCGCAGGCGGUGCUGUAAGACAGGCGUGAAAUCCCCGGGCUCAAGCUGGGAAUUGCGCUUGUGACUGCAGCGCUGGAGUGCGGCAGAGGGGGAUGGAAUUCCGCGUGUAGCAGUGAAAUGCGUAGAUAUGCGGAGGAACACCGAUGGCGAAGGCAAUCCCCUGGGCCUGCACUGACGCUCAUGCACGAAAGCGUGGGGAGCAAACAGGAUUAGAUACCCUGGUAGUCC